CCUACGGGGGGCAGCAGUAGGGAAUAGUGCUCAAUGGGGGAAACCCGGAAGCAGCAACGCCGCGUGGAGGAUGAAGGUGUGCGGAUGGUAAACUCCUUUUGGUAGAGAAGAGAAUGACGGUAUCUAACGAAUAAGCAACGGCUAACUCCGUGCCAGCAGCCGCGGUAAUACGGAGGGUGCAAGCGUUACUCGGAAUCACUGGGCGUAAAGAGCGCGUAGGCGGGAUAGCAAGUCAGAUGUGAAAUCCUAUGGCUUAACCAUAGAACUGCAUUUGAAACUGUUAUUCUAGAGUAUGGGAGAGGUAGGUGGAAUUCUUGGUGUAGGGGUCACAUCCGUAGAGAUCAAGAGGAAUACUCAUUGCGAAGGCGACCUGCUAGAACAUAACUGACGCUGAUGCGCGAAAGCGUGGGGAGCAAACAGGAUUAGAUACCCUUGUAGUC
rnacentral:rRNA from 1 species